rnacentral:lncRNA from 1 species
CAAACUUUGACACCAUUGCUUAUAAAACUCAACCCUGAACCCUGAAUCGGUUGAAGACCUAUCCAGCCGUGACCUAAGAGAACAUAAAAAUAGAAUACGAAACCUACAUGUAAAAUCUUACGCCAACAAUACUACAUCCAAAAACUACAUUAAUCCAAAAAAAAGAAAACCAAAACAUUACAAAGUACUGCACCGUUGCUUCCAAACUUAACCAUGAAGAAUAAGUCAAAAAGACCAAUCACAGCCGCGACCAAAGAGAACAUUAAGAUACAAAAAGCUGCGGAAGCAAUUAACAUUACGCUACACUACUACAACAACAACAUGGCCAGCGAGAGAGAGAGAGAGUGAGGAGCCUUACUUCUCCAUUCAGAAACCUUUCUGAUUCAAUCAACAACAAUUACUUUCCGAGGCUUUCCAAGUCUCGGUUUUGUUGAUGCCUUCUGCUUACUCUGCUUCACAUUCUUUCUUCUUUUGGUUCCAUUCAUAUGCCAGUCAUCGUCAUCAUCAUCAUCUUCUUCUUCCUCACUAGGAUCAGAAUCUAUGUAGUCAUCAUCAUCUUCGUCUUCAUUAUAAUAUACCUUCCGAGAGGCUUUUUUAGGUGCUGUUCUUGGUAUAUCGUAGACUGGGAAUCCUCUUGGUAAGUCGGGGAUCUUAACCGUCUCUGCGAAUCCUAUUGGAUAGAAACCCCAACAGCAAUAGUAAGUAUCUUCUUCAGUAACUGGUGGUGGAGAUGGAACUUUCACCGCCUGGAAAGCUCUCCUACAGCUCUUAGUUUGACAUUUAAGCACGCUUUCCUCGUACAUGUUGGGAUACUCGAAAAGCACGAAGCAGUAUGGACAAGUCGUCCAGAAACUUGGAACCUUCGGGAUAGAAUCUGAACUCGGAGUCUGUUCAGUAUGUUGGGAUUGGUUAGGGACCCCCGUUGGCUGAGGAGGAGAUGGAUUAGUAGAGGCCACUGGAACUGGAGAGGGAGUAGUGGAGACAGCUGGAACCGAAGGUGGAGUAGUAGAGACCGGAGGUUGCUGGAAUGAUUGAGUUGAAUUGAAGAUAGGAGGAUUAAAAAAAUAUAGAUUAGUUAUUUAGUUCCAUAAUUUUAGGUUAGUGUAUAUAUUUAAUAAUAAUUAAGUUAGACAUAAAUAUAAAUAAUUAAAAAGGUAGUUAAGUGUAAUAGUCCAACUUAGACUAUUUGUAAAUAGAUAACUUAGACUAUUUGUAAAUAGAUAGAACCUAAAUUAAUAUAUUAGAUUCUCAAAACUGAAACUAUAAUGCAUCAAAUUGGUAUAGCAGAGACAUCAAAACACAACAAACUUUGACACCAUUGCUUAUCGGUUGAAGACCUAUCCAGCCGUUACCUAAGAGAACAUAAAAAUAGAAUACGAAACCUACAUGGAAAAUCUUACGCCAACAAUACUACAUCCAAAAACUACAUUAAUCCAAAAAAAGAGAACCAAAACAUUACAAAUUACUGCACCGUUGCUUCCAAACUUAACCAUGAUGAAUAAGUCAAAAAGACCAAUCACAGCCGCGACCAAAGAGAACAUUAAGAUACAAAAAGCUGCGGAAGCAAUUAACAUUACGCUACACUACUACAACAACAACAUGGCCAGCGAGAGAGAGAGUGGGGAGCCUUACUUCUCCAUUCAGAAACCUUUCUGAUUCAAUCAACAACAAUUACUUUCCGAGGCUUUCCAAGUCUCGGUUUUGUUGAUGCUUUUUGCUUACUCUGCUUCACAUUCUUUCUUCUUUUGGUUCCAUUCAUAUGCCAGUCAUCAUCAUCAUCAUCAUCGUCCUCACUAGGAUCAGAAUCUAUGUACUCAUCAUCGUCUUCGUCUUCAUUAUAAUAUACCUUCCGAGAGGCUUUUUUAGGUGCUGUUCUCGGUAUAUCAUAGACUGGGAAUCCUCUUGGUAAGUCGGGGAUCUUAGCCGUCUCUGCGAAUCCUAUUGGAUAGAAACCCCAACAGCAAUAGUAAGUAUCUUCUUCAGCAACUGGUGGUGGAGAUGGAACUUUCACCGCCUGGAAAGCUCUCCUACAGCUCUUAGUUUGACAUUUAAGCACGCUUUCCUCGUACAUGUCGGGAUACUCGAAAAGCACGAAGCAGUAAGGACAAGUCGUCCAGAAACUUGGAACCUUCGGGUGAGAAUCUGAACUUGGAGUCUGUUCAGUAUGUUGGGUUUGGUUAGUGACCCCCGUAGGCUGAGGAGGAGAAGGAUUAGUAGAGGCCACUGGAAUUGGAGAGGGAGUAGUGGAGACAGCUGGAACCGGAGGUGGAGUAGUAGAGACCGGAGGUUGAUGGAAUGAUUGAGUUGAACUGAAGAUAGGAGACAGUGUAGAGGGCCCACCAGAGGCUUCAGGUGGCUGUGAUUGAAAUGCCUGUUGUGGCGGCUGAGUCACCAUCAUUGGCUUAGACGUUGAAGGCUGCUGAGAUACCG